rnacentral:rRNA from 1 species
GACGGAGGAUGCAAGUGUUAUCCGGAAUCACUGGGCGUAAAGCGUCUGUAGGUGGUUUAAAAAGUCCACUGUUAAAGAUUGAAGCUUAACUUCAAAAAUGCCGUGGAAACUUUUAAACUUGAGUAUGAUAGGGGUAGAGGGAAUCUCCAGUGGAGCGGUGAAAUGCGUAGAUAUUGGAAAGACCACCAAUGGCGAAGGCACUCUACUGGGCCAUUACUGACACUGAGAGACGAAAGCUAGGGGAGCAAAUGGG